CCGUACUAAGCGGGGGGUUGGUGGUCCCCUGUAACCCGAAACCCACCUUAGCGGGGCUGAAUUCCCCGUCUGAGGCUACCUGGGUUCGGAAACGGCGUACCUGAUGGCGUUGAAGGUUGGGUCCUACGCAACAACUACCUGCGAACCGGGUCAGGUCCGGAAGGAAGCAGCCCUAAGUAGGCAAGUGUGUGCCGUAGGGGUGCCCGGCCGGAGCCACAACGGGUACGUACGACCGGGUUCAGGCGUGUCGAAGCGGGGUGUACGG
rnacentral:SRP_RNA from 1 species